rnacentral:rRNA from 1 species
GACGAACGCUGGCGGCGUGCUUAACACAUGCAAGUCGAACGGAAAGGCCCUGCUUUUGUGGGGUGCUCGAGUGGCGAACGGGUGAGUAACACGUGAGUAACCUGCCCUUGACUUUGGGAUAACUUCAGGAAACUGGGGCUAAUACCGGAUAGGAUCUCCUGCUGCAUGGUGGGGGUUGGAAAGUUUCGGCGGUUGGGGAUGGACUCGCGGCUUAUCAGCUUGUUGGUGGGGUAGUGGCUUACCAAGGCUUUGACGGGUAGCCGGCCUGAGAGGGUGACCGGCCACAUUGGGACUGAGAUACGGCCCAGACUCCUACGGGAGGCAGAAGUGGGGAAUAUUGCACAAUGGGCGGAAGCCUGAUGCAGCAACGCCGCGUGCGGGAUGACGGCCUUCGGGUUGUAAACCGAUUUCGCCUGUGACGAAGCGUGAGUGACGGUAAUGGGUAAAGAAGCACCGGCUAACUACGUG